rnacentral:rRNA from 1 species
UGGGGAAUUUUCCGCAAUGGGCGCAAGCCUGACGGAGCAAUACCGCGUGAGGGAGGAAGGCUUUUGGGUUGUAAACCUCUUUUCUCAGGGAAGAAGCUCUGACGGUACCUGAGGAAUCAGCAUCGGCUAACUCCGUGCCAGCAGCCGCGGUAAUACGGAGGGUGCGAGCGUUAUCCGGAAUUAUUGGGCGUAAAGCGUCCGUAGGCGGUUAUUCAAGUCUGCUGUUAAAGACCACAGCUCAACUGUGGGCAGGCGGUGGAAACUGAGUGACUAGAGUUCGGUAGGGGUAGAGGGAAUUCCCAGUGUAGCGGUGAAAUGCGUAGAUAUUGGGAAGAACACCAGUGGCGAAGGCGCUCUACUGGGCCGAGACUGACGCUGAUGGACGAAAGCUAGGGGAGCGAAAGGGAUUAGAUACCCCCGUAGUCC